ACAGCAGCCGCCGCGGGAAUACAGAGGGUGCGAGCGUUAAUCGGAUUUACUGGGCGUAAAGCGUGCGUAGGCGGCUUUUUAAGUCGGAUGUGAAAUCCCUGAGCUUAACUUAGGAAUUGCAUUCGAUACUGGGAAGCUAGAGUAUGGGAGAGGAUGGUAGAAUUCCAGGUGUAGCGGUGAAAUGCGUAGAGAUCUGGAGGAAUACCGAUGGCGAAGGCAGCCAUCUGGCCUAAUACUGACGCUGAGGUACGAAAGCAUGGGGAGCAAACAGGAUUAGAUACCCGCGUAGUCCCUGUCUCUUAUAC
rnacentral:rRNA from 1 species